rnacentral:rRNA from 1 species
GACGAACCGUGCGAACGUUGUUCGGAAUCACUGGGCUUAAAGGGCGCGUAGGCGGUUCAUCAAGUCAGGGGUGAAAUCUUUCGGCUCAACCGGAAAAGUGCCCCUGAUACUGAUGAUCUCGAGGGAGGUAGGGGUCCGCGGAACUUCUGGUGGAGCGGUGAAAUGCGUUGAUAUCAGAAGGAACGCCGGUGGCGAAAGCGGCGGACUGGAUCUCUUCUGACGCUGAGGCGCGAAAGCCAGGGGAGCAAACGGG